UCAAAUGAGAUAUAAUAAAAGGCUCUUUUGAUUUGAACUUGAGGUAACUCAACAGAACAUGAGAGAAAUGGGCCAAAGGCCGGUCAAUGUUUUCCAGCCCAAUUAGGGCCCGUCUGCUGAACCGAUUCGGUCCACGUCACAUCACCGGUGGACCAAAACGCUGUCUUCUUCUUCCGCUGUAUUCUUCGUCUAUCAUAAGCUGAUAACUUUCUCCAGGUUAAGGCUCCGUGGAGCCACCACCACUGUAACGCAUACUUCAUCGGAGGUCCCCAAACAGGCUCAUGAAACCAGCAGUUUGUCUCCACGGCUUCAUCGCUUUCAACCACUCUUCCUGUGGCCACUGAUCUCCGCAUCUGACACCUCCAUCUUCCACUCCACCCCACCGUGAUGCAACAUGGUCUGCAGUUGAAUCAAGUAAUCAACCAGGUCGGCAAAGAGCAGCCGAUCCAGAAAGUUGAGUGUAGGCUAGCAAGCAGGAUUUAUUGAGCACCACAGUGAUGGCCAAUGCAGAUGGAGCUAUGACUGCUCCAGAUCACAAAGAUUUAGGGGCCAGUGUGCCAUGGCACAUCCAGCAGCAGAGUUCUGUGCCCGGAUGCAGUGGUCCUGAAUAAUCCAGUGCUGUGAUUCUUAUCAGUUCUUGCAAUGACUCUCCGCUAGCUUUCAUUAUGACUGCGGCCAGAACUCUUCAUCAUCACCUUAAUUUUUGCGAGGCUGAGACACUGAAAUCUCGUGACGAAGGAGCGAUCCUAAAGAACAGAGUGCAGGCCACUCACUGUGCCUACAUAUGAUCUGAAUCGACUGCCUUCCAACACUAAAUUAUCCAGCUUGGAAGAAUAAUAAUUGAUGCAACUGUCGUGAGCAUUAAUACCAGUCUCCCAUAUGGACCCAACACAGCAGUAUCCAAGAACUGCUGAGUUGCAGCUCUCAUGUGAUUGGCAGGACCCAUACCACCGAUGGUCCCUUCUCACCAGAUGCAAAAUGCAUGACAAGAUUUAUUGUACUGUUGUUGGGGAAUCUAAAUUUGAAGAUCGAAGACAAGACAUGGGGUGGUUUCUAACAAGAACAUCCUCCUCAAAUUCAUGGAGUCACCAUUGCCUCCUCAACAUGCUGUUCUCUGAAGCUACCAUCUCCUCUGAAGCUACCGGAAAACCCGGGUCUGCUGGUUCGCCAUUGAUGAGGAGCUACUGGGACACCAAGCUGGCCAUGGCUCAUGCGAAUGGCAUGCGCAGGGGAGCGUCGACUACUCCCGCUACCGAGGGUUUUGUGGGACACCGGUGUGGAAGAAAGGGUUCCGAAAAAGGCUCCACCACUGUUUUGAAUCGUGACACCUUCUCCGAGGAGGUCUUCUUCUCACCUGAUCGCUCAUCUCUUGCCUGCUAAGAAGAUCUAAACACAAAGAUCUGAUAUUUAUGUUAUGGUUAUCUUUUGGCAGCACAAAAUCCGCAAAUUGGGACAUGUACGUGCUUUACUGUUUCUCUGACCUCGAGAAACUCCAGAUUUGAAAGCAGGACCACUCGGUGCAUAAA